rnacentral:rRNA from 1 species
AUUGAACGCUGGCGGAAUGCUUUACACAUGCAAGUCGAACGGCAGCACGGACUUCGGUCUGGUGGCGAGUGGCGAACGGGUGAGUAAUACAUCGGAACGUGCCCAAUCGGGGGGGAUAACGUAGCGAAAGCUACGCUAAUACCGCAUACGCACUAAGGAAGAAAGCGGGGGAUCGCAAGACCUCGCGCGACUGGAGCGGCCGAUGGCAGCUUAGGGAGUUGGCAGGGUAAAGGCCUACCAAGCCGACGAUCUGUAGCUGGUCUGAGAGGAUGAUCAGCCACACUGGGACUGAGACACGGCCCAGACUCCUACGGGAGGCAGCAGUGGGGAAUUUUGGACAAUGGACGCAAGUCUGAUCCAGCCAUUCCGCGUGCAGGAUGAAGGCCCUCGGGUUGUAAACUGCUUUUGUACAGAACGAAAAGGCUCUGGUUAAUACCUAGGGCUCAUGACGGUACUGUAAGAAUAAGCACCGGCUAACUACGUGCCAGCAGCCGCCGCGG